CUCAAUCAAAGGCAGGAAACACUACAUAUGAAAACUAGGAAGAGCACCAAGGAGUUUGUGCCACAGGUCCUUGAGGAAGCGCCACACUCUC
rnacentral:lncRNA from 1 species